rfam:Aphanomyces astaci strain APO3 cont1.3648, whole genome shotgun sequence.
GCCCUAAUGGUCUAGCGGUAUGAUUCCUGCUUCGGGUGCAGGAGGUCCCGGGUUCGAUCCCCGGUUGGGGCC